rnacentral:lncRNA from 1 species
CUAUACGGAAUAAAAAAAACAAUAAAAAAAUCGAAAAAUCGAAAAAUCAAAAAAUACAAAAAUACAAAAAUACAAAAAAUAAAAAAACAAAAAAUAAAAAAAUCAAAAAAUCAAAAAAUCAAAAAAUCAAAAAAUCAAAAAAUCAAAAAAUCAAAAAAUCUAAAAAUACAAAAACUGUUUUUGUGCUGUCGCGUCUGGGCCGCCGUAAAUAAGGGAGUACAUUUAUUAUGCUG